ACGUUAGUGGCGGACGGGUGAGUAACACGUGGGUAACCUACCUAUAAGACUGGGAUAACUCCGGGAAACCGGGGCUAAUACCGGAUAAUACAUGAAACCGCAUGGUUUCAUGAUGAAAGACGGUUUUGCUGUCACUUAUAGAUGGACCCGCGGCGUAUUAGCUAGUUGGUAAGGUAACGGCUUACCAAGGCAACGAUACGUAGCCGACCUGAGAGGGUGAUCGGCCACACUGGAACUGAGACACGGUCCAG
rnacentral:rRNA from 1 species